rnacentral:rRNA from 1 species
UACCAGCACCCCGAGUGGUCGGGACGAUUAUUGGGCCUAAAGCAUCCGUAGCCGGCCUUACAAGUCCCCCGUUAAAUCCAACUGCUUAACAGAUGGGCUGCGGAGGAUACUAUAGAGCUAGGAGGCGGGAGAGGCAAGCGGUACUCGAUGGGUAGGGGUAAAAUCCGUUGAUCCAUUGAAGACCACCAGUGGCGAAGGCGGCUUGCCAGAACGCGCUCGACGGUGAGGGAUGAAGGCUGGGGGAGCAAACCGG